rnacentral:piRNA from 1 species
UAGCAUUCAGAAGCAGCUGGAGUGU